rnacentral:tRNA from 1 species
GACAAUGUGGCUGAUAAAAGUGUUAAAUUGUAAGUUUAUUUAUAGAAAUUUUCUCAUUGUUA